rnacentral:lncRNA from 1 species
GCUGAGUCUUGGAGAUAUUGGGUAACUCGUCCAAUCUCAUACAGACGGUACAUGGAGAGGCCGGGGUUAGGAGUGGGGCUUGCCUGCCUCCAGACAAGCUCGCCUGCCCCGGAACAGUGCUAUCCCUGACCCUGCCUCAGCAGCCCAGGGCUAAUUUCUGCCAGCUUGAUUUCCCAUGGAUUGGUAUCAGCAGGGUCCAUGUGGGUCCUGCGAGGUGGAGUGAUAAAGGUGACAAGUGAGGACACUGCAAUGGAAGAUGGCACUGCACUUUACAUUUGCACUUGUCAUGGUGAUAGUGACAUUUCUGAUUAACAUCAGAACUUUGGUCUGCUGAUUUCACCCGUGAACUUGGAGCCAGAAGUCCCAGGAUCCAUCUGAUCUCUGACCCAAUUGCCACGUCCUUCAGGUUCAUGCUACAAAAUCACCCAGCGUUGCUCUUGGCUGACGCCCCAGAGGAAAUCUGAAACGCAGCACUACGUGAGCUCUCUGGAAAUGGAUGGUAGACGGAGAGCACGUGGAAACUGCACAGAGCCGUCCACAGAUGGAGCCAGCUGCCUGAGGCUCAGGAAGCAAAUUGAAGAAAUAAGUUGAAAC